rnacentral:rRNA from 1 species
GACGAACGCUGGCGGCGUGCUUAACACAUGCAAGUCGAACGGGAUCCGGGCUUUCGGGUUUGGUGAGAGUGGCGAACGGGUGAGUAACACGUGAGUAACCUGCCCCCCUCUUUGGGAUAACGUCGGGAAAUCGGCGCUAAUACUGGAUAUUCUUGCUGCAUCGCAUGGUGGGGUUUGGAAAGGGUUUCGGGUGGGGGAUGCGCUGGCGGCCUAUCAGCUUGUUGGUGGGGGGAUGGCCUACCAAGGCUUUGACGGGUAGCCGGCCUGAGAGGGUGUCCGGCCACACUGGGACUGAGACACGGCCCCGACUCCUACGGGAGGCAGCAGUGGUGAAUAUAGCACAAUGGGCGCAAGCCUGAUGCAGCGACGCCGCGUGAGGGAUGACGGCCUUCGGGUUGUAAACCUCUUUCAGUAUGGAACAAGGAUCCUUCUUUUGGGGGGUUUGAGGGUACGUGCAGAAGAAGCGCCGGCUAACUACGUG